AUCAACAGUCCAGUUUAUGAGAAAUGGAUGAGGAAAUUUGAUUUUGCGCAACAUAUUAUGGUUGAUGUGUGAUUAGUUAUUUUUUUUGUUUGAUCACUCAACUUGGAAUUAUCUCUAGGUUUCAGUUUUGGUUUUAAGUCUUAUGUAUGUAACCUUUUGAUAAAUAAUACAUGUUUAGUUACAAAAACAAAUCUACAUGUUUGAAUUUUUAUUGAGUUCUCUAUUAGAUGGUUCAAUGCAUUCUAAAUAGGAUAAUAAUAUACAAAAUAAAUGCAAAACAAAAUUAUAGUAUUUUUUUAUGAUAUAAUUAUGGCUCCAUUUCACAAAUAUUGUUUUAGAGGAGGUAGCAGCAGCCACAAUUUUUAAAUGUUGUAGAAAGGUAUAAAAGGCUGUAUUUUUAAAGCGUGGCAAAAAAUGAAGCUAAGGCCACGCUUUUCAAGUGUAGAACUAUCCAAUAAAACUGUUGUCAAUGAGAUGCUAAAGAGCGUGGCCUUUGUAACUCAUAGGCCACACUUAUUGAACGUAGCCGAUAUGACAAUACUUGAAAAGCGUGGCUUUUAAUCAAAGGUUACAUCUCUAUAGGCCAUCCCAAAAAGUGUUGCCUAAAGUCCGAAAGUGUAGCCUUUGAUCAAAGGUCACACUUUAUGUUAUUUUAGGCUACACUUUACAAGAGUGAUAAUAGGACUAAAAUGUUGUAGCAUAUUUUAAAAAUAUUCGCCUCUGACCUCUAUUAUUUGUUUUAAUUUACAAUUUAUAUUUGAAGAAUAUGCAAGUAAAAAUGUUUACAUUCGCUAGAAGAUGCAAUUAGUAGCAUGCAUUCAAGAUUAAAUACAAGAGGUCGCUUCAGAUAGUAUAGAUAUGUCGUACGUCGGCCUACAUAUGCACCGGUAGAAUAAGUGUGAUAGGAUAAGUGAGGGUGUUAAAAUAAGAUGGAACAUCUAAAAUCACAUAAAAAAUUUAUUUCGAAAGAGACCUACAAAUCCUUGCUAUCAAUGCAAGACUUAAGCUAAAAAUAAAACAUAAUAAAUGAAAAAAUAAAAUGAAUAUCCACAUAAGUGAUAUCUACUUAUUGUAAUAGCAAUAGUAUUGACAUAACGGAUAAAUUUCGAUAAUUUCACAUAAAAUAAUUUUAUGACUUUAAUAGUGCCUUUGCCUCUGCCACCAUUACCAUCAUCGUUGUCACACUUAACGCCAUCGGCACAUUAUUGUCCCUAGCUCGGACAUAUUUUAUGUGAAUGUCUGUUUGUGAAAUAAGAUGAAAGGUAAAGAUUCACAAUGACUGACUUUGUUGUAUUUUGAAAAGAAUUGUUUGUAUUAUGCUCGAUUUUGUAUAUCAAUUUUACGAUCAAAAUCAUCCUUGAUUUCUUUUCGGUUUUGUAUAUGUGUUAACAAUUUUCCCCUUCCGAACUAGUGGCAAUUCAAAUAAUUUUUGAUACGGGUGUUUUCAUGUAUUUCAUGUGCGUGAAAAAUACAUACAAUUGAUAUAUAGUCAAUUGAUAUGAUUAUCUCCAUUAUCUUCACAGAGACACAAAUGAUAUGAUGGAUUUGCAUUCUUACAAGAUUAUUUUUUAAAGGUGUAAGCUAAGUAGCAUACAUUGAGAGUACGAGAGAUUGCUUGAGAUAAUUUGGAUCUGUGUCAUGCAUUGAGAUACAAAUAAUUCAUUUCAUAAAUGCAAAUUAUGAUAAGUGAAGGUGUUAGUAGACCUAAAAUCAAAUGAAAGGAAGUUUUUUUUUUAUUUUUUGAGUAAGACGUAGGAAUCCUCUGUAUCAAGGGCCAAUUUGUUUUUUCUUCAAUUUUUUUCUUCGUAUAAGUGAUGUCUACCUAUUGGUGAGGUAAAUUCCCUAAAUAGUCACCAAGUUUUAAAAUUUUCCUAGUUUAUGAGAAAUGGAUGAGGAAAUUUGAUUUUGCGCAACAUAUUAUGGUUGAUGUGUGAUUAGUUAUUUUUUUUGUUUGAUCACUCAACUUGGAAUUAUCUCUAGGUUUCAGUUUUGGUUUUAAGUCUUAUGUAUGUAACCUUUUGAUAAAUAAUACAUGUUUAGUUACAAAAACAAAUCUACAUGUUUGAAUUUUUAUUGAGUUCUCUAUUAGAUGGUUCAAUGCAUUCUAAA
rnacentral:lncRNA from 1 species